rnacentral:lncRNA from 1 species
CAACACCAUAUUUGUUGUAAAGGAUAUGGAUCUAUAGCUUUCUCUCUUUUGUAGUGUUCUGACUAGGUACACUUGGUGAUUCUUCUGCUAAAAUAAAAUUAGUUCUUGGAGGAAGUACAACUCGUAUAAUAUUUAGUUCAUUUCCUUGCACGUUAGAAAGCAAGUUAAUCACUAAGGGCUGUUACAAAUGAAAGUGAGUUAAACUCACCGUAGUUGAGAAACAGGGAAAGGCUGUGAUUCUGAGACGAAGUUAUGGAUACCAGGCAAAGUAACGAAGCUGAACCUGACUCCUGCAUAAAACCAGGAAUCCUUUAACAUGUGAAAGUGGCCCCGGGUAGGUGGACUCUAAAAAGUGAAUGAAAAUCCUCUCUGAAGGAAACUCUCUCUAAUUAAUGCUUCUAGAUUAACUAAUCAAACACCCAAGGAAAUAAGCCAUUUUGAUUGAGAAACAGAAGAUUUGUACACUCAAGGAAUUCAGAUAUUAGGAUUGGCAGAAGUGGAAUACCAAUUAUAAAAUGCUUAAAGAAAUAACUAUGAAUUUAAAUGAAAGUGAAAUAAGAGAUAUGUACAAAGAAAAGGCAGAUAUUAAAAGAACCAAGUAGAAAUUAAAGUAUGAAAUAUAAUAAUUGAAAUAUAUAACUCAAUGGUUUAAGAGCAGAUUAAUGACAACUAAAGGAAUCAUUUGUUGACUACGAAAAUAACACAUAUGCAGCAAAGACAGUGAAACAGCAAAUAUGAAUGACAGAUUAUGAGACGCUGAAGGAUAGAAUGACAAGAUCUAAUAUGUGUGUAAUUGUGGUCUCAGAGAGCAGGAAAAACGAAGGAGAUGAUUGCUGAGAAAUUUCCAGAACGAAUCAAAAACAUGAAUCCACAUAUACAAAAAACAAAACCUAUAUCAAACAGGAUAAGUAAAAGGACGCCAAUGUAGUUUCCUUAUAAGGAAACUGCAGAACAGCAACGACAGAGAGAUCUUAAAAGCAGCCAGAAUAACUAAACAUCUGCCUACAGAGGAAUGACAAAUUGACAGAAGACUUUUCAGUACCAAAAACUGAAGUCAAAAGAUAGUGGAAUAACAUCAUUAAGGUGUUAAGUGAAAGUAAUUGUCAUCCUGGAAUGAGUGAAGUUAUCUUUCAAGAACAAGGGC